rnacentral:lncRNA from 1 species
GUGAAAAUCAGAUGCAUUGCUACCUGAAUUGGUAACAGUUGUUUUUCACUUGAAGUAUGACAUGUUCCAGGCUGCAAACCUUCCUUGUCAGAUGGUGAGGCUGAAAUUUUUCUGGUGACAGAGAACAGCCGCAAGCCGAUUGCCGGUCUCUUCCACCCCUUCAUUCUGCAGACACAGAGCCUUAUAGCCCAUCCAUUACGGGAUGAUCUCUCAUUAGCUUCAACUUUGAAACGCAAUUUUCUACUUCCUGAUUGUAAAAUCCCCAAAGAUGCCUCAGAAGUUUUUAUUUUUUCUUUCAAGAAAUGUGGAACGGUAAAUCUUUCCACAAAGAAAAUCCACAGAAAGUAAUAAACAGUCGUGUGAAUUCAAGAGCACUUGGAAAGAGUGCAGAAAUCAGCAGAGGUGAUGAUGGGCCAGAAAACGAGUCAUCAAAAGGGGGAAGGGGAUUUCAUCCUGCCAAAUCAUUAAUGAGUCCUGCUGUACUGAAAAACUGCAGAAGAUUCAAGACUUUUUUCCAUGCAUUCAUUUCUCGGUAUACAACCUCACUCAACACAUCUCACUGAUCCGUGCAUGGUAGAAACUUUGUCUUCUACUCUGCAGAACCUUGGUGCUCAUCUAGCAUAAAAUGAGGAUGUGAUUCGGAAAACAUGAGAUUGAUUCUGUCAAUAUAUACAACUGAGAACUUCAGGACUCAGAGGGGAUUUUUAUAACUGGGUAUCUCUGUCUGCCCUUCAAUGUUCCCAGGGAGAUCACCUCCAACUGGAGCCUGGGAGAGACUUCAAUGUAUUUCCUCCCCAAGAACAAUGCCUUCCUCCACAUGUCCCAACUAGACAUUUUCUGAGCUCCGUAUCCCAACCGGCUCCUGGUCAUCUCUACUUUGAUGUCUCAUAGACAAAUCAUAGGCAACAUUAUAAAUGAAAUUCACCAUCUUUCCCUGAAAAAUGGCUCUCUCUCAUCACUUGUAUCUGGGAGGAAGACUGUACCAUCCACACAUUGUUCUAGCUGAAACCCAGGACGCCACAGCAGGAUCUGCGUGGGCCUACAGAGAUCCAAAUGUCACACAGGAGAGUACCUGGCUCUCACUCCACUGGCAGGAUGGAGAGCCCUAGAAGAACAUGAAUUUCCAGUGAGAACACCAUCCUUAUCACCCUUCUCCUGAACCACCUCUACCUGCUAUAUCCCUGCAACUGCCUGAAUUAUAGUCCCCAGAAUUCAUCAACCAACUACACCUAAGACAGGGGUCAGCUAACUGCCAGUUUAUUGCAGUGAAGUGUUAUUGGGACUCAGCCACCCCCAUUCAUUUAUGCAUUGUCAAAGGCUGCUUUUGCUCUGCAAUGGCAGAGCUGAGUGAUCGUGGCAGAGAACUUAAUGUUCCACAUAGCCUGCAGUGUUUACUAUCUUUACAGAAAAUGCUUACUGACCCUUGCCCUAAGAUUAAUCCCAUGAUUCCCUAUAUCCCUUGUGACCACAGUCCCCACAGAAAGCCCAAGCCUCCCAGGGCAUUAACCCCAUUACAGUUCUGUGUAGCUCUCUCCUGGCUUAAGCUCCUACUCCUCCAAGCCC